GGGUGUAAAACUGAAAAGCACAGUGCAACACCGAAAAACUAUAGGCCAAAUUGCAUAGAGGACAAAACCCAAAACACAGACGAGAUGGAACAGGGAUCUUCAAGCCAACAAAGUUCAGAGGCGCACCAAUUCAAACCUUGGCUUGAGACACCCUUCAACCGUGCCAGAAAUCGCCUCCGGCGGAGGCGGAGGUUCAAUCACCAAAAACAACAUAUAACAAGAAUCGUCUCAACUCACUGAUCCUUAAUCUAGACCAAGAUAUCACCAAUUCCUCUCCAAAUGCACAAAUCGAAGAAAAUCAAAUAAGAACCCUAGAUCCCAAAUUCGAAAUUAAAAGCCAUGAGGGAACGAAAUAGAGUCCAAACCAUAGGGAUUUGGCUCCUUAUACUACGACCUACAUUACAAUAAAGAGAAUUGAGCAAGAAAGAGACUUUCACCAGCCAUCGAAGCGAAGAUGUGCUUCGGUGUUUGUUGAAACUGAAGAAGACAAAGCUAAAGAAAAUACCAGAGAACGGCGAUUAUCCAAGAUAUGGUUUGAUGUAUGCUUUGCUGCAAUUUAAUCAUUUUCCUUGUUCUGCCAGCUUGUUAUGCAUGAUGUGGACUAUGAUGAAUUGCAGGACUGUCAUGAGGUAUUUGUUGCUGAACUGAAAUACAAUGGCAUGAUAUGUGUACUUGUCAUGUUUUGUUGCUAAAUGUGUUAUGGCUUGCUAAUUGAUAUCCAUUGCCAUGCUUUAGAUUAAGGUUAUUCUGAUUGCUUUGGCAAUGGUUUAUGUUGGCAUGGAUGGAAUGUGUUAAGUGUAGGGCUAUUAGUUUAUUGCAAAUCAGGACUUUAAUGAUAGUUUUGGAGGGAUCCUGACAUGAUGGUGGUGUGGGCCAGUAGUGUGUUGUUGUCAUGGUCACAUGGUAUGUAGAAGGGAUACAAAAUGAGAGCAUUUAUGGAUUGAAGGUAAUGAUGUUCUUCUGUGGUGUACUGAUCAUAGAAAAUAGGCUAAAUGUCAUGUAUGCCCUUUGUUCAUUAAUAGCCUGCUUGAAUUCAAAUUAAAUGGAAAUGAUUACAUUAUGAACUAGAUUGUUGUUUGGCAUGAACAUGGCAUGCAGCAGUGCACUAAUGGAUUGAGUUGACAUGACUUGAUCCUAAUGAUGAUGAGCCUAAUGUUAGCAUGUUGUUAAGGUUGUCAAUGAAAUUCUGAAAUUGAAUUGGAUGGUGAA